rnacentral:rRNA from 1 species
AUUGAACGCUGGCGGCAGGCUUAACACAUGCAAGUCGAGCGGGGUGAUGGUGCUUGCACUAUCACUUAGCGGCGGACGGGUGAGUAAUGCUUAGGAAUCUGCCUAUUAGUGGGGGACAACAUCUCGAAAGGGAUGCUAAUACCGCAUACGUCCUACGGGAGAAAGCAGGGGAUCACUUGUGACCUUGCGCUAAUAGAUGAGCCUAAGUCGGAUUAGCUAGUUGGUGGGGUAAAGGCCUUCCAAGGCGACGAUCUGUAGCGGGUCUGGGAGGAUGAUCCGCCACACUGGGACUGAGACACGGCCCAGACUCCUACGGGAGGCAGCAGUGGGGAAUAUUGGACAAUGGGGGGAACCCUGAUCCAGCCAUGCCGCGUGUGUGAAGAAGGCCUUACGGUUGUAAAGCACUUUAAGCGAGGAGGAGGCUCUUUUGGUUAAUACCCAAGAUGAGUGGACGUUACUCGCAGAAUAAGCACCGGCUAACUCUGUGCCAGCCGCCGCAGUAA